rnacentral:rRNA from 1 species
CCUACGGGGGGCAGCAGGCGCGAAACCUCCGCAAUGUGAGAAAUCGCGACGGGGGGAUCCCAAGUGCCAUUCUUAACGGGAUGGCUUUUCAUUAGUGUAAAGAGCUUUUGGAAUAAGAGCUGGGCAAGACCGGUGCCAGCCGCCGCGGUAACACCGGCAGCUCUAGUGGUAGCAGUUUUUAUUGGGCCUAAAGCGUCCGUAGCCGGUUUAAUAAGUCUCUGGUGAAAUCCUGCAGCUUAACUGUGGGAAUUGCUGGAGAUACUAUUAGACUUGAGAUCGGGAGAGGUUAGAGGUACUCCCAGGGUAGAGGUGAAAUUCUGUAAUCCUGGGAGGACCGCCUGUUGCGAAGGCGUCUGACUGGAACGAUUCUGACGGUGAGGGACGAAAGCUAGGGGCGCGAACCGGAUUAGAUACCCCAGUAGUC